rnacentral:lncRNA from 1 species
AAAUGAAAAUUUGUUGAAUAUUAUCAAAUUUGGCAAUUAGCUAAUAUAUAUUUGCAAAUAUUAUCGUUACGAUUGAUUAAUUGGUAACCUGUUGAGCAGGUUACCAUUGCAAAAGUCAAUCUUAGCCUUAAAAAUUUGAAUACUCAGAUUUAAAUUGGCCGGUGUAUUGAAGCAUUUCUUUAUAAAAUAAGUCAAAAAAAUAGGAAUCUUCUCAAAAUUAUC